ACCAAAAAACAAUAUGUGUCUGUCAAAACUGAGAAUGGGAAAAACAGAAAGGUAGAAGGAGCAUUUCAGCUCCAGCGCCCUAAUGUCACCAUUUGUCACACAGCCUUUCUUCUGAGAAGCCAGGACAAGGGUUAACUCCCCCCCCCCGUGCUAUGUGCACAGGCUACUCUGGGAUAGUUGCAGGAUUCAAAUGUGCCUGGCCUGACAAUGUUGCUGCUGCUGCGCAUUCUUAUGCAACUGGCUGUCUGGGAGGGCAGAUUGUAGCUCCUAUACUCUGCAAGUGAAAGGUGCGUGUUUAAUCAAUGUCACAGCUCGCUACAGUAAUGCAACUCCAAGCACGACCACUCUGUUCAUCUGGUGGAGCUGGCUGCUGAAUUACUCAAUGUGCAGAAGGAUUCCUAGGAAUUAUUUGUCAGAGAUGCCUGCUUAAGUGUGAACUACACCUGGCGCUGGAAAACCCUGCCACUGCUCAGUUGACUUACAAAUCCCAAGUGUACAUUUUUCAGAGAGAGCAGUGGCUUUAGCUUCCAGAGAUGAAACAUUCCCACGAAUGAUGCAUUUCUUAAGAAAGGGCAAUUUACUGCUUUAUUUUAAGGGUCAUCUGGUGAAGGGAUUCCCCUCAGGCCAAUGACAAAUCCCUUGUAGACCGUGGAAGGAAAACACAAUAACACAACAGGCGCUACCUGUUAAACAAAGGGAACAAAGGGAUAAUACAACUUGGAUUCUAAACGGAGGACAAGCCUCUUGGAAAGCUGUUCCCUUUCUGUGGAUCAAUAAUGAGUAGCAUCUUUUUCACGCCGCCUCAGUUCAUUGGAUUAUUGAUACAAUAAGGAUCCUCAAAUUUUUUGGCUCUAAGCAUCAUCUUAUUAAAGGGGAACGACGAAAAGAAAUUGUGUAUGUGUACGAGUGACAUCUGUCCCUUCUGUUUGCAGAGCAGCUUAAGUGGAAGACAAAAAAGGUUGGUUUUCCAUUCUGUGAGGGACAAAGAAGUAUGCCUGAUGCCACCGUACUCCUGAUGCACAGUAGGACAGCCUUUGGAGGAGUACUGAAGACAUUUCUGGGGAAAAUGAUUACAUCUGCUAUGUCAGCAGCAGUAGCAGCAGAAGUGAAGAGACAAGAGGAGAAAGAGGAAAAAGAAGAGUCCAUUUUGGCUAUGUUGGGAAUUGUAGGAACAGUUUUAAAUCUGUUUGUCAUAAUUUUUGUGUACAUCUACACCACCCUCUGAUGGUUUAUUGCAGUACUGAGCGUCUAACAGGUGGGGGUGAAAUGGUACCAACUGAAAAGAUGGCAGGAACUGAGAAGACAUUUCAAGAGGGUCGCUCGAUAUGCUAUCCAAUACAUUCCAGUGCUAAGUGCCUAGAUGGAUUAUGGGUAAUUACAUGCAUCCGUCACUGCAGAUAGGAUUAUAUGACCACGUAAAGCAAGAUGUGCAACACCAAACUGGUGCCACUGAUACAGAGAGUCAGUGCAGUAUUGCAACUGAGAAGUCAUUUAAACAUAAAAUGCCUGAGAGGGCUCUGUUACUGCCAUAUUAUAUACAAGAUACAGGAAAUGGUCAUUCAGCAUCCAUCUGUAUAUAAUAGAACUUUGCUCAGCCGACCAUUUGUAGAAAAAGGAAAACAACUUUUAUCCUUCACUUAUACUCCAUAAAAUACUUUAUUACUACUACUACUACUACUACUACUACUACUACUACUACUACUUCCAUCUGUUCUGGUACAUCUAAGGAUGGAUAAUAAUCCUUUUCAAUAUAUUCUUUACCCGAUUACUUUUUUUUUUUCUCCUAAAAAGCACCUUAUUACAUUUUCACACAGACCACUCUGCUUUACCUACUGUGAAUGAGAGAAGAAAUCAUUUUAUCAUAUGGUUCUAACAUUUUUAUACUUCACAGUAAUAAAUGGUUGGGUGGGCAGGUGUCUUGAAAGCCAUUAACUAGAUUUUAGAUUAUACAAUAUGAUGCUCAGGAGCCAGCCCAUAUGUCAUGGCUAGGCAAAAUGUAACUCUCCAGCUACUGUUGAAAAACAAACCCCAUCAUUCCCAGGCUGUUAGCUGGAGGCUCUAAGGUUUCCUAUGCUAUUGCCGGUACAAUUUAGACUUUUGUACAAUUCUGAACUGGCUGCUUUGGCUAGAGUAAGCAAAAUUGGCGUUGAGGCUAUUCGUAAGCUGGGCAAUCUAAAAACAUUCCUGUUUCAGCAGAAAAAUAAAAUGUUUACAGGUAUCUAGAGAAGUUACCAAUCUCACAAGAAGAGUAGAAAAGCUUAGGCCAUGGUUGAUCUUGAGGUAUUGUCAAUAAUUAAUAUUAAAGAACCAGUUUCACUAACCUAAAAAUCAAUAUAUGCUUUAGUUACUUAGGACCUCAUUUAGAUCUUUGCAUUUACUGCUAAAUUUGUAGCUUUUUUGUGCUGUACAUAUAAGCAUUUUCACAACAUUCAUUAUAUAGUUAACGUUAACCUAUUAAUGUACAUUACAAAACAAACGCAUUGAUAGUCCCAGUUGAGUUUAUGUCGCUUGUUUUGGGCAUAGUUUAUAAAAUACAGCAAAACAUUAUAAUAAUACAAUACAGAGUGUAUUGCAAGGUUUGUAUAACAUGGUUGGAGAAGCUGGUACUUUAUAUGUAAGCCCAUAUAAUAAAUAUUUCUCUGCAGGCAGUUAAAUAAUUGUAAUGAUGGAUCAUAUUUACUUAUUUACUGUCAUGGCAGUAGUACUUAAUUGACGCUGAGCAGAAACAUAAAAAAAAGCUCUCUGCCUUCAGUUAAUCUCACCCAUAUUGAAAUUCUUGAUUCUUUUAUAAAAGUGAUCUACUCUUUAUGAUGUCCUAAAGCAUUUCAAACACAGCCACAAACAAGAAGCCAUAGAAACGGCCAUUGGCCACAGAAGACUUAUCAUUGAUAUCAAAUGUACUUGUGUAAAGCUGAACAACAUAUGUUCAUCUGAACAUUUUGGUAAAACAGAGUCUGCAGAACCGCAAUCCCUGCAAAAACCUAAAGCUUUAAAAUGUAAAAUGUGAUUUUAUAACAUCCUGCAUUUAUUUAAGCUGAAAAAAGGUUCUUUGUACAUUUAUAGAAAAAUAAUUCUAUCUUAAAUCCAUGUGAAAUUUUAAACAGCAAAAUUUGAAAUUUGCCAUUUUGGGAGAGAAACACAGCUACUGAAACUAGUUUUAAAUGAGUGUUAAUCAUUAUCAAAUCCCUCCUCUUGAGCUUAACCCACAAUAAAUCUGUUCAUAUGAAAUUUAGGGGGAAAAGGCAUACGCCCUAACAUUUUAAAGUGUUUGUAAAACUUUGUUCUUUUAAAAAUCAAAAGUUUAUGACAAUUGAUCCAAUUAUCCAAGGAAAAAAUAUACACCAAGUGCCCAGUAGAAACUUUAUAUUUAGUAAAAUUUCACAUUCUGCAAAGUGUAAAAUAAUCACCCUCAGAAUGAUAUCAUAAUUGCUUAAUAAUACAAUUUAAGAUAUGAAUGUUGCCAGUAUGUUUAUAUAACCAGUAUGUGGUUUCUUACCAUUUAAUGACCAGAAAUUAAAACAUUAAAGACAACUAAAUUAUUUGGGGGGUUAAGUAUGCUGUUUAACAGAACAAUGUGAUUAUUUCUUUUACAAUUACCAUAGCAUCUCUGUACUUUGCUGGGUCUAAUUUAAAAGGCUAGUGUGAUUGAAGGUGAAGCGUUACAUUUAAUCUGUGUAGGUGUAUUCACAUGGAGGCUUCCUGUACAUUGCAAAGAAUGCUAAACAAUUGUAGGAUACAACACAUACUCAGUUUGAGUAAACUGGUCAUCGUGCAUUUACUUACACUUUACAAAAAGGAAAAACUUUAGAAUCCUCACACCAUUAUUAAUAUACAAUACUAGUGAAGGGAUUUUGCCAUUAUAGUGAAUGGUUUAAUCAUUCCCUCAAAACUGAUGUUCAAAAUAAAUAGGCUGUACCUUAGAAGCCUACUGUGGGUUGGUAAAAAAAAUUGUAUGUAGAGGAAAAUAAUGAUUAAAAUGACAAAAAACGUGUAAAAUAUGUUAAAAGUGAGAAAAAGAGUGCUGGGAGACUUUGUAUGUUUCCCCAUCUUGGAUGUAAGUAAUGCCCCACUACAUUCUAUUAUAAAAUUGAGGAGACCCAGUAUUAUAAACAGAAAUAAUAGGGAAAAAAUAGAUUAUGCAAAUAUAGGAUUUACAUAAGAAUGAGUAUACAACAAUAGUAAUGCUAUCAAAUAUUUUGUUGGAACUUUGUGAAACUACAGUACACAACAGUUGUAUCCUUUACCAUUUAUAUUGUUAGGAUACAAAGCAGAAAGCCCAGCAAGCAAAACAUGAUGUCUUAAAUCACUGGGCAGAGUAAUAAUUGACAUUAAAUAUAUUUCUUGCUACUUUGCCACAUUACAUGUAUACUGUGCCUACCAUAGCAUUUAUAAAAAAUAAAAAGUGAAUAAGCCACUAAUAAUCCAUAUUAUAUAAAUGCAUACUGUGUAAAAGGUUUACACACCUUGCAUCUCAAUACCUUAUAAGAUGGUAGAGACAAAACACAUUUUUGGCCUGCCUGCAAAGCCUCUUUUCUGCACAUUUGCAAAUUUUUAUAUAAUUUUUUAAAAAAAACAACAGACUCCUUUCUCAGUUUACUAUAGCAUUUUAGUGUAAUAGAGCCUAAUCUGUCCAGAGAGACUGAAUGGUAAGGAAUAAACCUUACCAAAUGAGAUGGGAACCAAAUGAAUAUAGUUUUCAAAUUUGUCGAUUUGUCAUAGUUAUGUUGGAGUGAAAAGCAGUAAACGAACAUUGCCAAACCCAGAACACUUUGGUCAUUAUUAAAAUGCCAUUCUACUUAACAGAGCGUCUACAGAUUUGCCUGUGGGUACAGGACACAAGCUGUGUUGUUUAUUAUACUAUACAAUGAAUUAUACUAUAAAAUGAAUAAAAUAAUCUUCUAAACUGAA